GAAGGGGGCUAGCGUUGUUCGGAAUUACUGGGCGUAAAGGGCGCGUAGGCGGCCUUGAUAGUUGGGCGUGAAAGGCCUGGGCUCAACCCGGGAACUGCGUUCAAUACUGUAAGGCUAGAGUGUGGGAGAGGUUGGUGGAAUUCCCAGUGUAGAGGUGAAAUUCGUAGAUAUUGGGAAGAACACCGGUGGCGAAGGCGGCCAACUGGACCACAACUGACGCUGAGGCGCGAAAGCGUGGGGAGCAAACAGGAUUAGAUACCCUGGUAGUCCACGCUGUAAACUAUGUGUGCUUGACGUCGGGGGGCCUAGCCCUUCGGUGUCGGAGCUAACGCGGUAAGCACACCGCCUGGGGAGUACGGUCGCAAGAUUA
rnacentral:rRNA from 1 species